rnacentral:rRNA from 1 species
UACGGGAGGCAGCAGUGGGGAAUAUUGCACAAUGGGCGAAAGCCUGAUGCAGCUAUGCCGCGUGUAUGAAGAAGGCCUUAGGGUUGUAAAGUACUUUCAUCGGGGAGGAAAAAACAAAACUAAUAAUUUUAUUUCUUGACGUUACCCGAAAAAGAAGCACCGGCUAACUCCGUGCCAGCAGCCGCGGUAAUACGGAGGGUGCUAGCGUUAAUCAGAAUUACUGGGCGUAAAGAGCACGUAGGUGGUUUUUUUAAGUCAGAUGUGAAAUCCCUGGGCUUAACCUAGGAACUGCAUUUUGAAACUGAAAUACUAGAGUAUCGUAGAGGGAGGUAGAAUUCUAGGUGUAGCGGUGAAAUGCGUAGAUAUCUGGAGGAAUACCUGUGGCGAAAGCGGCCUCCUAAACGAAUACUGACACUGAGGUGCGAAAGCGUUGGGGAGCAAACAGGGAUUAGAUA